rnacentral:lncRNA from 1 species
AUAUUCACUGAAAGUUCCCAUUGCUGGGGUUUGUUUCUUAUCUUUGCAGACGAGUGGGAAAUCAAAGACUGGAAUGCUGGGAGAACGCUGGGGAAACUGACAAAGGGGUGAGCUCUGGAAAGGAGGACGGAUACUUCCUGUUCCUGCUGGAGUGACCUGCAGGUCUGAGGAGGAGUGAGGGAGAGGAAGGCAGAGAAAGCGAUACCCUGUGAAACCUGCUGGUGUAAACUUACCUCUGAUUGGGACUCACUGAUGUAAUGGACAAACAAGCACAAAAUGUGUCGAUACCCACAUCAAAUCUCCCAGGUUCCCUGCUGAACUUGGCUGAGGUCAGUGUCUGGUCAAAUGGAGUCGGGCCUGUGCGUCUGUGGGGGUGCAGAUGAAGUGGUCAGCGGU